rnacentral:rRNA from 1 species
GGUGAACGCUGGCGGCGUGCUUAAGACAUGCAAGUCGAACGCAGUCUUCGGACUGAGUGGCGCACGGGUGAGUACCACGUAACUGACCUACCCCCAAGUCGCGAAUAACCAGCCGAAAGGAUGGCUAAUACGUGAUGUGAUGAUCCGCUGUGGCGGAUCAUUAAAGACUUGAUCGCUUGGGGAUGGGGUUGCGUUCCAUCAGCUAGUUGGUAAGGUAAAGGCUGACCAAGGCAACGACGGAUAGCCGGCCUGAGAGGGUGGCCGGCCACAGGGGCACUGAGACACGGGUCCCACUCCUACGGGAGGCAGCAGUUAGGAAUCUUCCACAAUGGGCGCAAGCCUGAUGGAGCGACGCCGCGUGAGGGAUGAAGGUUCUCGGAUCGUAAACCUCUGAACCAACGACGAAAGACCCGACAAGGGAGAUGACGGUAGUUGGGUAAUAGCACCGGCUAACUCCGUGCCAGCAGCCGCCGUAAAAC